rnacentral:rRNA from 1 species
UACAGGGGGUGCAAACGUUGCUCGGAAUUAUUGGGCGUAAAGCGCGCGUAGGCGGCCGCUUAAGUCGGAUGUGAAAGCCCCUGGCUCAACUGGGGAAGUGCACCCGAAACUGAGUGGCUUGAGUACUAAAGAGGGUCGCGGAAUUCCCGGUGUAGAGGUGAAAUUCGUAGAUAUCGGGAGGAACACCAGUGGCGAAGGCGGCUCACUGGCCCGGUACUGACGCUGAGGUGCGAAAGCGUGGGGAGCAAACAGG